rnacentral:rRNA from 1 species
GACCUUGAAAUACCACCCUUUAAUGUUUGAUGUUCUAACGUGGACCCGUGAUCCGGGUUGCGGACAGUGUCUGGUGGGUAGUUUGACUGGGGCGGUCUCCUCCUAAAGAGUAACGGAGGAGCACGAAGGUUGGCUAAUCCUGGUCGGACAUCAGGAGGUUAGUGCAAUGGCAUAAGCCAGCUUGACUGCGAGCGUGACGGCGCGAGCAGGUGCGAAAGCAGGUCAUAGUGAUCCGGUGGUUCUGAAUGGAAGGGCCAUCGCUCAACGGAUAAAAGGUACUCCGGGGAUAACAGGCUGAUACCGCCCAAGAGUUCAUAUCGACGGCGGUGUUUGGCACCUCGAUGUCGGCUCAUCACAUCCUGGGGCUGAAGUAGGUCCCAAGGGUAUGGCUGUUCGCCAUUUAAAGUGGUACGCGAGCUGGGUUUAGAACGUCGUGAGACAGUUCGGUCCCUAUCUGCCGUGGGCGCUGGAGAACUGAGGGGGGCUGCUCCUAGUACGAGAGGACCGGAGUGGACGCAUCACUGGUGUUCGGGUUGUCAUGCCAAUGGCACUGCCCGGUAGCUAAAUGCGGAAGAGAUAAGUGCUGAAAGCAUCUAAGCACGAAACUUGCCCCGAGAUGAGUUCUCCCUGAGACUUAGAGUCUCCUGAAGGAACGUUGAAGACGACGACGUUGAUAGGCCGGGUGUGUAAGCGCAGCGAUGCGUUGAGCUAACCGGUACUAAUGAACCGUGAGGCUUAACCUU